UACGUAGGGUGCAAGCGUUAAUCGGAAUUACUGGGCGUAAAGCGUGCGCAGGCGGUUUUGUAAGUCUGUCGUGAAAUCCCCGGGCUUAACCUGGGAAUUGCGAUGGAGACUGCAAGGCUAGAAUCUGGCAGAGGGGGGUAGAAUUCCACGUGUAGCAGUGAAAUGCGUAGAGAUGUGGAGGAACACCAAUUGCGAAGGCAGCUUACUACACAAUGAUUGACGCUGAGGCACGAAAGCGUGGGGAUCAAACAGG
rnacentral:rRNA from 1 species